GAAAGUGGGUCAACAGAAAAGGGGGGCCUGAAGGUGCUAAGUGAAUGGGUUUGGGGUGGCAUGUCUUGAGAACUUUCAGUAGCCAGGAGCUGCCUUAACCUGUGUCAAGCCAGCCUGGCAAGAUCCUACGUUCCAUGAUAAAUGUCCCGCCCAGUCCUGAGGAGGUAGGUGUUUUAUCACCUCUCACACCCCUGGAAACUACCUUCCUGCUUUCUUUCUCCUUUACGAAGCCAUUUUGCUAGCCUUUCCCACCGUUGGGAAGAAUUGUCAGCUAAGCAAAGGAUAGGUGAUGAGGGAAUAAGAAGAUUAUUCUGUGGGUGGGUGGAGGCAUGUGGGGGAGUCUGUGGGAGUGUGAGGGAGCGUAUGGAUAUGUCUAUGUAGGUAUACAGAGGUGUGAGGGGGUGUCUGUGUGAAAGUGUGAGUAUGUGAGUGUAUCUAUGGAAGUGUGUGUGGGGGUGUAAGGGUGUGUCUAUGUGAGUGAGUGUGUGUGUGUCUAUGAGAGUGUGUGGGUGUGUUUGAGUGUGUUUAUGUGAGUGGGGGAUGUGCCUUUGGGCAUGUGUGGGGGUGUAUGGGUAUGUGAUGAACACGGUGAAUUUGCCCACACUCGCCUCAGGCUACAGCAAUGUAUCAGGUGGGUUCAGACUUGCAUCUGCAAGCUGCGUAAUCACCCACAAAGUCACUCCAUGCUCCUGGCUGUGCAGUUUUUCUCUUCCUUUCUUUUCCAUAGCGCGUCUUACCCUGCAAGUGACAAUUAAUGCUCGAAAGAACAUAAAAUGGAGGAGAAAUUACAGCAAUUUAUCAGCUGAAAUUAUAGGUGUAGACACAUGUCAGCCGUGGAAAUGGUUUCUAUCAAAAUUAAAGUAUUUAGAGAUUUUCCUCAAAUUUCAAAUUAUGCAAAUUCCAUUUUCUGAGAUGCCACAGCAUGGUGGCUUUAAUUGCAGGCUUACUAGGAAUGUCUCGAGAAACACGGGGACUUGAGGGUCUCUCUCCUUCCUAAGCAGUUCUUUCAUGCCCACAACUCACAAAUGCAAGAGACAGACAGACCUAAGCUGUGAGGAGGACUGUGGCUUCCACAGCUGCACAGUGGACCAUGGAGACCUGCAGCAGUUAGAUGGCAGUCUGCCCACCCCAGAGACAGCCAAGAACGCUGGUGUCUGGUGGUACCUUGGCCAGGGUGAAUCUAACAUGCUGUGCAGCACCUCACCAGGUUCCUGUUCCCAAGCCCCUCCUUGGUUAAAUUUUACUCAAACUGUUCUUCAGUGGUCCACAGGAACACAACUGUUCUGUGUUGCAGUUUGCAUGCAGCUUGAAUGUUCCCCAGGAUUUUCACUCUGAAAUUU
rnacentral:misc_RNA from 1 species